AUGGAAUAACAACCGAAAAGGUUCCGUGAUUACCUCGAAAUGA
rnacentral:antisense_RNA from 1 species